CAGACCAUGAAGCUGCAUUUCCUGUUGGGAGCCAUGUGGGUUAGACAACACCCAUAGGGGGCUGGAUCCUGGCUCUAAUGUAUCCAAACAACACAAUAACCAUGUUAUUAAAACUUAUUUAACUAGUAAAUUGGACAUAAAAUCAAUUUCCUGGACAAAAAUUUCCACAUAUCAAAUAAACUAAAUCCAUGUUAAUUAGGGAAGCCCUUAUUAAACUUUCUUGAAAUGCUUGAUCUAGUAUACUUUUUUGCUAAAAAUUCUCGGAUAAAUUUCACUUCUCGUAUUAACUUAUUUAUAUGCUCUUCAACGUAGGGGCAAAAACCUGCAUUGCUGAAAACUUCAUAUUAAGGACUUCUUGUGCAGUUAGAUGAAUGCCAGUGUAUAUGGAAAUACAUGCCUACUGUUUUUUCAAUUUCAUCGGUUUUCAUUUUCUUUUCAGACAUGGGAGAAUAUUUGUAUCUUAAUCUUGCUAGACUAGUACUGUUAUUUAUUUAGAGCACUACAGAUUCCAUUUUGGUA